CCCGCCCUCUGUGCAUCUCUCCCUCUCCCUGCCUCAGUCAGUCAUCCUCCCAGGUAACUCUGGUCCAGACAAUGCGCGGCUGGCAACUGCUGCUGUCCGUGUAGUUGGCUCUCUACAGGGCCUUCUCCCACACAGUAUACCUCAUCCUCCGACUGCUAGAGACAAUCCGCAUGCGGAGCGGUCAUCGCGCGCACCGUGGCGAAUUUUCACUUGAUUUUCUGUCGCAGAAAAGAGUGGUCCCUAUAGCUUGCCAGUAUUUCGGAAUAUGGUGGUCCUUGUUAAAAAGAAUGAGUUCAAUUUUUUUACGUCUUAAAUGGCAGUGAUGGAUACAGUUUUAGAAUCCGCAUGAAAAUUGAAGUUUUGCGUUUCGUUUUAUUCAUUAAAGCUUGCAAAAUGCGUCGUGUCUGAGGCAGAAUCUACGGUCUCGACCAAAUCAGCCCUGGACCUGCGUAUGAGAAAAGCAAACCCGUGCUUUCCUAAUAUUUAGCAAACAUUGCAUUUGGCUUGCAUUCAUCCCCAGUUUUGGAUUGAUCGGAUGCGUCAGCGUUGGAAGCGGCUGUGGAGAACCCCAUAGCUUUCGGCAUAAUUUGAUGUAACUGGAUGUUUUAACAGGGUAACUGGAUAUAUCUUACCUUUUAACUGAGAACAGCUGCAUUCAAGUCAAGAAGCAAACUCCAUCAAGAGAUAGAUCCAUCCCUAUAUGGACUAAAUCUUGGUUCUUCGGGAUUUAAAACUAGCAAAUCACACGCAUCUUGUUCGGCGCUUCUUGGGAAAAUAGCCUUAAACUGUGGGAGACAUGAAAGUUGUUUCAGCAGUGUUGUUCCUUGCCAUAUUUUGGAGUCAGGAGUGGGAGCCCGUGCUUUCUGAUUCAAUCAUACACAUCGGGGCCAUCUUUGAUGAGUCUGCCAGGAAGGACGACGAGGUGUUCCGCAUGGCCGUGGCGGACCUCAACCUCAACAAUGAGAUCCUGGAGACUGAGAAGAUCACCAUCUCUGUGGAGUUUGUGGAUGGGAACAACCCUUUCCAGGCAGUCCAGGAAGCCUGUGAGUUGAUGAACAGGGGGAUCCUGGCUCUUAUUAGCUCAGUUGGCUGUAUGUCGGCGGGCUCCCUGCAGACGCUGGCGGACGCCAUGCACAUCCCGCACCUGUUCAUCCAGCGUGCCCCCGCCGGCACCCCUCGCUCCAGCUGUCCCCUCGUCAGCCGCGUUCGCCAGGACGACUACACCCUCUUCGUUCGCCCGCCCGUCUACCUCAACGACGUCAUCCUCCAAGUGGUCAACGAGUACAGCUGGCAGAAGUUCAUCAUCUUCUACGACCAGGAAUACGAUAUCCGUGGGAUCCAGGACUUCCUGGACAAGACGUCUCAGCAGGGCAUGGACGUGUCGCUGCAGAAGGUGGAGUCCAACAUCAACAUGAUGAUCACCAGCAUGUUCAGAACCAUGAGGGUGGAGGAGCUCCACCGCUACCGGGACACGCUGCGCCGGGCCGUGCUCUUCAUGAGUCCCGUCACCGCCAAGGCCUUUAUCACUGAGGUUGUGGAGACGAAUCUCAUGGCAUUCGACUGUCACUGGAUCAUCAUCAAUGAGGAAAUCUCAGACCAGGACGUCCAAGAACUGGUGAUGAAGUCAAUUGGGCGUCUGACCCUGAUCAGACAGACCUUCCCCCUGCCCCAGAACACCAGCCAGCGCUGUGUCAAGCACAACCACCGCAUCAACACCUCCCUCUGCGACCCCAAGGACCCCAAAGCUCAGACACUGGAGAUCACCAACCGCUACAUCUACGACACAGUGCUGCUAUUGGCCAACACUUUCCACAGGAAGCUGGAGGACAGGAAGUGGCACAGCAUGGCCAGCCUCACCUGUAUCCGCAAGAACUCUAAGCCCUGGCAAGGAGGACGGCCUAUGCUGGACAAUGUCAAAAAGUCUGGAGUGAGUGGUCUGACUGGCUUCCUGGAGUUUACAGACAACGGAACCAACCCCAACAUCUACUUUGAGAUCCUGGGGACCAACUAUGGCGAGGACAGGGGCAGGGGUGUCAGUAAGCUGGCCACCUGGGACCCAGUGCACGGCCUCAACGGAACGCUGACAGACAGGAAGCUGGAGAACAACAUGAGGGGCGUGGUUCUGCGAGUGGUCACUGUCCUGGAGGAGCCCUUUGUGAUGGUGUCAGAGAAUGUCCUUGGGAAGCCUAAGAAGUACCAAGGUUACUCCAUCGACGUACUGGAUUCCCUCUCUAACUACCUGGGCUUCAAGUACGAGAUAUAUGUGGCCCCUGACCAUAAGUACGGGAGCCAACAGUCUGACGGGGUCUGGAACGGACUGAUGGGAGAGCUGGUCGCCAAGCGGGCAGACGUGGGUCUCUCGGCUCUCACCAUCACGCCAGAACGGGAGAGUGCGGUGGACUUCACCACACGCUACAUGGACUACUCGGUGGGUGUGCUGCUCAGGAAGGCCGAGCGUACCGUGGACAUGUUCGCCUGCCUAGCGCCCUUUGACCUGUCGUUGUGGGCGUGCAUUGCGGGCACCGUGCUGCUGGUGGGCAUCCUGGUCUACCUACUCAACUGGUUGAACCCGCCGCGCCUGCCCAUGGGUGCUGUCUCCUCCACCACCUUCUACAAUUCCAUGUGGUUCGUCUAUGGAUCCUUCGUCCAGCAGGGUGGUGAAGUUCCGUAUACCACCCUGGCCACGAGGAUGAUGAUGGGGGUAUGGUGGCUCUUUGCUCUAAUCGUCAUCUCCUCCUACACAGCCAACCUGGCUGCCUUCCUCACCAUCACCCGCAUCGAGAACUCUAUCCAGUCUCUCCAAGACCUUUCCAAGCAGACAGAGUUGCCGUACGGGACGGUGUUGGACUCGGCUGUGUAUGAGCAGGUGCGCAGUAAGGCCAUGAACCCCUUUGAGAGGGACCCUAUGUACUCCCAGAUGUGGCGCAUGAUCAACCGCACCGGAGGGGCCGAAAACAACGUGGACGAGUCCAAGGAGGGCAUCCGCAAGGUGAAGUACGGGCGUUUUGCCUUUGUGUGGGAUUCGGCGGUGCUGGAGUAUAUGGCCAUCAACGACGAGGACUGCUCCUUCUACACUGUGGGGAGCAAUGCACCAGAUCGGGGCUACGGCUUCGCCAUGCAGCACGGCAGUCCAUACAGGGACAUCUUCUCCCAGAGGAUCCUGGAGCUGCAGCAGAACGGGGACAUGGACAUCCUGAAGCUGAAGUGGUGGCCCCGGGACAGCCCAUGUGACCUGUACUCAGCGGUGCACACCAAACACCGCGGCAGUGCCCUGGACAUCCACAGCUUCGCCGGCGUGUUCUGCGUGCUAGCGGCCGGAGUGGUGCUCUCCUGUGUCAUUGCCAUGGUGGAGACCUGGUGGACUAGGAGGAAGGGCUCACGAGUCCCCUCCAAGGAGAUAAGUACACUGUGUUGAGGGUAAAGCGGGCGAGGGAGAGCAAUACAAAAUGCCAUUUUUACAUCUCACCCUUCCAGGACGAUAAGGAGAUCGACCUGGAGCACCUUCACCGCCGGGUUAACAGCCUGUGCGCGGAGGACGACAGCCCCCACAAGCAGUUCUCCACCUCCUCUAUUGACCUGACGCCCCUGGACAUGGACUCUAUGCCGGCUGCCCGGCAGGCCCUGGAACAGAUCAGCGACUUCCGCAACACGCACAUCACCACCACCACCUUCAUCCCCGAGCAGAUCCAGACCCUCAGCCGCAGCCUGUCCACCAAGGCCCAACAGGGCUUCGCCUUCGGUCCCGUGCAGGACCACCGGACUGGGGGAACCUUCAGGCAGAGAGCCCCCAACGGUGGCUUCUUCCGCAGUCCCAUCAAGACAAUGUCCUCCAUACCCUACCAGCCCACUCCCCAGCCCAACUUCAGCUACGGCAACGACCCCGAUCGGGGUACAUCCAUAUGAGGAGUAGGAGGAGGCCACAUAGUGAGAGAGAUGUAAACAAAUACACUCACAAAGCUCUGUGUACAUAGGAAUUUUUCAGUUCAGUUUUUUUUUGUUCAGUGGAGUGGGGUGGGUGGGUGGUGGGUGGGGUUGGUCGUCCUUCUGAAACCUGUUGGUGAGAGGAGGUGGGGACUUGAAUGUUUUCUUUAUAGUAAUCGUUCUCGUGGUUUUCAGAAGAUUUUUGGGUGUGUGACAGGGAUCUGUUAUCUCUUUUUCGUUCCAUGUCAUUUAUGGACUGCUUUUCUGAAGAAGCAUAUGACUCCUAUGGACACAACAAGGAGAGUAUGUUUUUUUUAAUAACAGAAAACACUUGUCUGUCUGUUCUUGAGAUCCACAAAUCGGCAAUUACCCAAUGCUCAUUUGGUGGACAUUCUUGUCUUUGCCUUUCACCUUAUGGGACUUCAUCCCAUUCAGUUCUUUGGUGUUGCUCAUCCAAUGCCUGUGCUCCAAAUCUGAAAUGUGCCCAGAAAUGGGUGUCCAUUGGCUCAGCUCCCCUGCAUACUGACACCUCACCAUCUGAGCUCUGGAAACACUCUGCCAUUUUGGUGCAUGUACGACUCUAUCAAUUCCACUGCACUCACUGCACCAGUGCCCACAGACCUGUGUUUGAUUGUAUGUAGUUUGGAAAUUCUUUCUCACCUGUACUGUGCUGUCUAUUUCAAGGUGAGAGCCUCAACCUCUAAACGGACAUUUCUUGAGAGACGCAUAGAGGCACAAAAAGGACUGAAAAUAACUGAAAUAAAAGACAACAGAAAAAUGACUUUAAAAGCAGCUAAAGCUAUUAUAUGUAUUUUAUUGAAUUUGUUUUGCAAAUACAUUUUAAUGCGUGGAAUGUGUUUGGUCAGAAAGUAAAACAAAAAAAACAUUGUUCUCAGCGGUCUACUUGUUUUCUCAGCCAAUUUUGAAAACCGCUAAAUGAGUGCUAUAGUCUUACUCUGGUUUGCGUCAUAAAUCAUAUUCAAGUUGUUUUUCACCUUACUUGUAGUUCUGCCAGGGCUCAGUCAGGAAAACAAAGUCACAUUUCUGUGCGAUCGUGUCAUUCUCCAGUCCUCUAAUUGACUGUUGUAAGGCCAAACAGUUGGGCUCAGAUUGAGGAGAAGCCCUUUCCAAUAACAUCCUCAGCACAAGCCUUAUCAGUACAGGCUGGCUUCUCCUCGCCAGUCUCCUGUUUCAAUAGGAUUUUUUGGGCCAUUGGAACUGUAGAGCUGAUGGCAGCCAUUUUGAAAGAUCUUUCUAUUUUAUUUCUUAAAUGUUAAGGGUACUGUUUAUCUAACGUUUUCAAAGUGCCAAUUGUUUAGACGAGACCAUUAAGGUGAGGUUUUGGAGGGAGGGGGUCAAAAAAAUAAUAAUGUGAAGGGAAAAGAGGAACCAAACCUUUUCACUAACACUGUAUUAAUAUUUAAUAAUGUUAGUUGUUUAGAAUGAGCUUUCAGUUUGUUAUCUUAAGACUAAACCGCAAAUGUUGUGCGUAGAGACCAGAAGCAGUGUUUGAUGCAAGCCUUCUAGAUGUUAUUUUCUUAAGCUGCAGUACGGCUAUCGAAUGACAAUAGGACACAGACAACGUUUAAAGAAGUUUUAUUUAGUAUAAAUGACAGAGACAUUAUGAAAUGUGUAUAUUUUACAUGUUGACGCUAUUUUUGUUUAAUAAAAAAUAAUAUAUCAUAUGAGCCUUGAGUUAGCAGUCACCCAACAUAUUUGGUUUCCUCCCAGGUCCAGAACACACACGAGCUUUCUCUUGUCCUGUUGAGUUCAUUUUGAUUUGCUGGCUAAUAACAGAGGAGGCAAGAUCUUAAAAAGAAGCAUGCACAACUUGCUAUGCGCGUAACAUUUUUUAUUUCAUACAUAGGAGGUACAGGAUUACUUGAUCAUGUUCAACUGAUUAUAGUGUACAGUAUUUAAUAUAGGCCUAUGUUGUUGUAUGUGUUGCAUAUUAUUCAAACGGAACAAACUGAGGCCUCUGUUACAAGUGGCAAAGCUUUCUGUGUAUAAUUUGUCUAAUAAACUUGUUUUCUACAGUG